rnacentral:lncRNA from 1 species
GUCUCGUGGUCUUGACUCGGUGAACGUGACGUUGAAAAAUGGAUUGGUCGUUUGAAUUCGUUCUUUAUUUUUCAGUAUCUUUCAUACUACAUUUUUAAUUGAAAUAUGCAGCAUAUCGGAUUUUUCAAAUUUCUGUACAAGUUCAGUUUUUGUUUAAACUUUCAAGUUUCAAUAUCCUAAUUCGUAAAUCAGCGUGGCCAUGCCUAGUUGCCUACUGCCAACACAAUACUUAUCUUUUUCGUCAUUUUCUCAAAAUUCUUGUUCGAAAUGGGAUGUUUUGACGUCAAAAUGACUGCUGAAACCUGUGAAUCCACGCAUAUGUGGAUAUCACAUGCUUGUGUUGGACAGGUUCUUGUGAUGCUGUCCUCUGCUUCCUACACUUGCUGUGUGAGAAUUAUAAACAAGACAUGCAAAAUUUUUGCUGACCCACAUCAAAUUAAAAUCUUAGAAUCAUCUAUAUUACAAUAAGACCUAGUCACGAAAAUCAGAACUUAAUCGCCACUCGCUAGUCGAAUGGACCUAGCACAAUCACGGAUCUUCUUCUAACUGACACCAAUCCAUUAGAUUACCCUCGAGUUGAAACUUGGAUCGAUGUCAACCGUCCAGGCAAAACAUUGGAAUUCAACCACGUUAUCGCUGUUUCGCCUUCUAAAAGAUGAAUACAGUUCUGGUACAGAAACUGGUAACAUUCGUCGGGAUUCGUUGGGAUAAGGUUCCUGUGAUGCUCUCUUCUGCUUCCUACUGCUGCUGUGUGAGAAUUAUAAACAAAACCUGCAGUCCAGAUGAAAUUGAAAAUCUUAGAAUCAUGGAUAUUGUUGUACGACGACAAGAUCUUGUCACGAAAUCAGAACUUGAUCGCCACUCAAGAGUCGAAUGGACUGGGAAUAAUCACGGUUCUUCUUCUUACUGACAUCCAUCAUUAGGAAAAUGGAGAAUGAAGAUUGUAUUGGGGUUGAAAAACGUGGCGACAUUAUUGCUGUUGCCAGAAGUUGCUUGAGAUUGCACUUUGAAUUAAAUAUUUUCUGUGCUUUUUUUAUUUGAAAGAAUUACCCACGGGUUGAAACUUGGAUCGUUGUCAACCGUCCAGUCGAAUGGAUAGUAGUCAAAACAUUGGAAUUCCGCCACGUUAUCGCCCGUUUCGCCUUAUAAAAGAUGAAGACAGUUCUGAUGCAGACACCGGUAACAUUCGUCUCUAUUUAACAUUGUUCUUUUUAUCGUUAAUUCUAAUUUUUAUUUUUAUAUUGAUCCAAUCUCUCGGAUGUGUCGGCUGAGUUCGCCGUAACGGCAGUUCGUCGUUGUUGACAGUUGUCAGAAUCGUCGAAUCCUAUUAUUUACUCCGGCGGAGGAAUAGCGAAUAAGGUUUCUGUGGAGAGAGUAUUUUUCUCAAUUGGUUAAUUUACAGCUAAGUAGCGUGGGUCCUAGCUCUCAGCAGCCAGGAGCGUCGGAUAGCCUAGGCGAUAACAACGACCAAGAAUAAACUGCUGUGCUGCUUGAACAAAAUUAUCGUUUGUAUAGAGUAUAGAAGAAGAAACAUCUGUUAUAAUAGCUGCACAGUUUGCUGACUACUGUUUUGUAUUCAUCCAUCAAAUUUUCAUCUCUGAUAAAAUAGUAAAAUGAAACAAAAAAUAGAGUAAUGAAUUGUG